UUUCAGCAGCGUGGAGGUUGGAGCACGCAGCGGACUUUAGGAACUUGAUUAUCAAUAUAUGUAUUUCCCUUUCAGUACUGUAUUCAACUGUUUAUAUUAGUGAAUAUGUGAUGAUGAUAUUGCUUUUAUGAUUUGGGUAAACUUGUAGUUAUGCUUCUUAUGAGAUAAAUGUAUGUUGGAAAAUCCUCCUUGUAGGAUCCCAGGAUCGGAACCUGGUGUAUGGCCACUGGGAGCCGAGAAUGGGGUACUACGGAGGCUGUCGGCACCGGAUUCGACGAUCGAGAAUUUUGUGAACCCGGUUUCCGAGUUUGGGGUGUAACACCAAUGGCCAAAAAAACAAAACAAAGAAAUAAAAACUAUAGAAAAAUGAACACAAAUAUUUGCUAGAAUAUUGAUCAUAGAAAUUGAAUGAACUUACUAAAAUUCCAGAUUAAUUGCUGAAAUUUCACCAUUACUUGCUACUUUUGUGAUUAAAUACUCCAAUUGUCAUAUUUCACGAAUGCUUACUUAAGUUGCCUUAUUCUAGAUCAAUUGUCUUUCCUUAUUUCUUUUAUUGGGUGUUUUAUCAGUAAAUUCUUUUGGAUGUAACCUGCCAGCAAAUUUUACCACCUGUACUCAACUCCUUUUCUGACCAAGAUAGCAGGGUGCAUUAUUGUUCUUGUGAAGCAUUAUAUACCAUAGCAGAGCUGCUUUGCAGGUUGCAAGAGGAGAUUUCAUUGUAUUCUUUAAUAUUUUCAACUAAUAACAAGGAUAUUAUAUAAUCAAUAAUUCUGCAAUUUAUGGAUUUCUCCAGGAGAUUUAAACAAACUCUCUAGUAAGACUUCAAUUCUCCAUCUAUGGCAGUUCUUAUAUCUUAUAUAACAAACUUAACGAUUUUUCUUCCUUACAAGACAUUAUCAAAACAUUUUCCCUUUUUUUUUUUUUUGGUUUCCCCUAGUUUAUGGCUUAAUCUAGACAAGAAAAUGUUGUUGGAUAGUUCUUUUUAUGGGCAGAAUGGUGCUAGAGAUCCAUAUUUAUUUGACCAAGCAUUUUAAAUGAAUUUGAGCAGUGGUGUAUGAAUCUUUUUUUCUGGUUUUAUAGUUAUUUAGAAUUUAUUUAUUUUUUCAUAUGGGAGCUCUGUUUGACGGUUUGGAUUAUGACAAUUUUCAAAUUGUUGUAUUGAUCUUUGAUCCCUUUAUUCCUCUUCUGAAAAAUUGUCAUGUUGGGAGCUUUUGGGAGCUCUUGACUGCACUUAACCUGUUUGGGCAUGACAUAACACUGACUGAAGCAGUGAGACGGUUUUACACAUUUGUAGAUGACAUAAAUACAUCACUGCUCCCUGCUGACACAAGAAAGGCGACAUAUGUUGUUGUAAUGCAGACCGUCACAACAUCAAACAGAUCUGCAUAUGAAUCUCUUCUAAAAGUUUAUAGAGAGACUGAUCUAAGCCAAGAGAAAGUGCUAUUCUAAGUAUGUCAAGACCUAUAUGAAUUUUAAGGAAAUUGAUUCGGUCCAUUUUACUUCUGGGCAAUAAUCUCUCUUAUCAUUCUUUGUAGGUUCACUGGCA